rnacentral:rRNA from 1 species
AGUGAACGCUGGCGGUAGGCCUAACACAUGCAAGUCGAACGGCAGCACAGGAGAGCUUGCUCUCUGGGUGGCGAGUGGCGGACGGGUGAGGAAUACAUCGGAAUCUACUUUUUCGUGGGGGAUAACGUAGGGAAACUUACGCUAAUACCGCAUACGACCUACGGGUGAAAGCAGGGGACCUUCGGGCCUUGCGCGAUUGAAUGAGCCGAUGUCGGAUUAGCUAGUUGGCGGGGUAAAGGCCCACCAAGGCGACGAUCCGUAGCUGGUCUGAGAGGAUGAUCAGCCACACUGGAACUGAGACACGGUCCAGACUGCUACGGGAGGCAGCAGUGGGGAAUAUUGGACAAUGGGCGCAAGCCUGAUCCAGCCAUACCGCGUGGGUGAAGAAGGCCUUCGGGUUGUAAAGCCCUUUUGUUGGGAGAGAAAUCCAGCUGGCUAAUACCCGGUUGGGAUGACGGUACCCAAAGAAUAAGCACCGGCUAACUUCGUGCCAGCCGCCGCAGUAA